rnacentral:rRNA from 1 species
GAGUUUGAUCGUGGCUCAGAGCGAACGCUGGCGGCAGGCCUAACACAUGCAAGUCGAACGCACCUUCGGGUGAGUGGCGGACGGGUGAGUAACACGUGGGGAACGUACCUUUAGGUUCGGAACAACUCAGGGAAACUUGAGCUAAUACCGAAUGUGCCCUUCGGGGGAAAGAUUUAUCGCCUUUAGAGCGGCCCGCGUUAGAUUAGCUAGUUGGUGGGGUAAUGGCCCACCAAGGCUACGAUCUAUAGCUGGUCUGAGAGGAUGAUCAGCCACACUGGGACUGAGACACGGCCCAGACUCCUACGGGAGGCAGCAGUGGGGAAUCUUGCGCAAUGGGCGAAAGCCUGACGCAGCCAUGCCGCGUGAAUGAUGAAGGUCUUAGGAUUGUAAAAUUCUUUCAGCAGGGACGAUAAUGACGGUACCUGCAGAAGAAGCCCCGGCUAACUUCGUGCCAGCAGCCGCCGUAAG